rnacentral:rRNA from 1 species
UCCGUAGGGUGCGAGCGUUCAUCGGAAUUACUGGGCGUAAAGCGUGCGCAGGCGGUUCUCCAAGUCCGUUGUGAAAGCCCCGGGCUCAACCUGGGAAUGGCAGUGGAAACUAGGGGACUUGAAUCUGGCAGAGGGGGGUGGAAUUCCACGUGUAGCAGUGAAAUGCGUAGAGAUGUGGAGGAACACCGAUGGCGAAGGCAGCCCCCUGGGCUGAGAUUGACGCUCAGGCACGAAAGCGUGGGGAGCAAACAGG